rnacentral:misc_RNA from 1 species
AAUCGACAAUUUGAGCCUGACUAUAAUUGACAUGAACUGCAAUUGAAGGACCCAUGAGGAAAAUGUCAUCACUUUAUUUUCUCGUCUCUUCAUUUGUAGAACUACAUGUAGUAACAAAGUACAAUUUCUCAACGUCGUCAUUAGCUACACCGGCCACUCUUUCUCUCUUCAAUGCACAAGAAAUAUCCCAAACAAGUUUGUUGCACCUAUUCAUUUGUUAGGAGAUAUUUAAUCACCUAGUUAAGAAUUUUUACCUACUGCAGCCAUGUCAUUUUCAUCGGCCAAAAUCCUCAGGGGAACUCUUACGCGCGGGAGGAAGAAAUGCUGGUGAAUACUUGAAAUCUCCACGGAGGUCCUCUCAACACUGGAGCUGGCCAGUAGGGUACGUAUAAUGGUGAGAUUGAGUGGUGUCUGCAGUUCGUCAGCCAAUUAACUUCGCCAACGAUAUGACGCUUAUGGACUAUUUUGCUUCACUCCUAGGUGGAUCAUCGUAAAACCUUUUCGAGUUGGGGAUUAACGUAAACUAGAAAGAAUUGAGAAAGGGUGUUUUCAGUUUUCUUCGAGAACUAAAAAUUGUAAAAAAAGAAAGAGUUUUCAGUUUAUUAGAAAUACUUCUAUGAAUCAAACAUAAAUUUCUAAAACUGAGCUGCUGAUGGUACAUGUACUUUAGUUCGAUUUCUAAAUCUUAAUUAAUUUUUAAUCAUUUUUUUUUUAUUAAUAUCUAAAGUACUGUUUUUUACAUAUUUUUACCAACUUUUCUAUGAAAAUGUUCUCUAACUUUCAAAAUAGAAAGAUUUAUUAUUGGAUUUUUAAAAUGGAAGGUGUGUUUUUUACAUUAAAAUAUACGCUUUACAAUUUAGAUCUUAAUAAAUACUUCAAUCAUUUCUUCAAAGUGUGCAUCAUGCAAUGAUAUGUAUAUAAAAUGUGU